rnacentral:rRNA from 1 species
AGUGAACGCUGGCGGUAGGCCUAACACAUGCAAGUCGAACGGCAGCACAGUAAGAGCUUGCUCUUACGGGUGGCGAGUGGCGUACGGGUGAGGAAUACAUCGGAAUCUACUUUUUCGUGGGGGAUAACGUAGGUAAACUUACGCUAAUACCGCAUACGCCCUACGGUUGAAAGCAUGGGAUCUUCGGACCUUGCGCGAUUGAAUGAGCCGAUGUCGGAUUAGCUAGUUGGCGGGGUAAAGGCCCACCAAGGCGACGAUCCGUAGCUGGUCUGAGAGGAUGAUCAGCGACACUGGAACUGAGACACGGUCCAGACUACUACGGGAGGCAGCAGUGGGGAAUAUUGGACAAUGGGCGCAAGCCUGAUCCAGCCAGACCGCGUGGGUGAAGAAGGCCUUCGGGUUGUAAAGCCCUUUUGUUGGGAAAGAAAAGCAGCAGGUUAAUACCCCGCUGUUCUGACGGUACCCAAAGAAUAAGCACCGGCUAACUUCGUG